GGAAGCGUAUCGAAGUGGUCAUAACGAGCUGCACUCGAAAUGCAGUAGUCCGCAAGGGCACGUGGGUUCGAAUCCCACCGCUUCCGCCA
rnacentral:tRNA from 1 species